rnacentral:sRNA from 1 species
GUUUCUUCUCUGGCUUGGGGACCGGCGGCGGCGGCGGCAGCGGCGGCGGCGUAGGGUGUUUUAAGUCAAAUGGGUGAUGAAAAGGACUCUUGGAAAGUGAAAACUUUAGAUGAAAUUCUUCAGGAAAAGAAACGAAGGAAGGAACAAGAGGAGAAAGCAGAGAUAAAACGCUUAAAAAACGUAAGCCAUAUUUUUUAAGUAAGUGGUUUUCUUAAAGGAGAUUUAAUUUCUUUGCCCUCAUUUUUCCAUUAGAACAACGCUUCUUCAGUGAAGUUCUUUUGUACUUCCAAAUGUCGCAGUCUGAUGACCGCGAUUCCAAGCGGGACUCCCUUGAGGAGGGGGAGCUGAGAGACCACCGCAUGGAGAUCACCAUAAGGAACUCCCCGUACAGAAGAGAAGACUCCAUGGAAGACAGAGGAGAAGAAGGUGAUUCUUUGGCCAUCAAACCACCCCAGCAAAUGUCUUGGAAAGAAAAAGCUCAUCACAGAAAAGAUGAAAAGAGAAAAGAGAAACGUAGGCAUCGUAGCCAUUCAGCAGGAGGGGGGAAGCAUGCUAGAGUGAAAGAAAGAGAGCACGAACGUCGGAAACGACAUGGAGAAGAACAGGAUAAAGCUCGCCGGGAAUGGGAAAGACAGAAGAGAAGGGAGAUGGCAAGGGAGCAUUCCAGGAGAGAAAGUGUCUGCACAUCACCGAACGAUGAGAGAGGACUACAGCGACAAAGUGAAAGCCAGCCACUGGAGUCGCAGCCCGCCUCGGCCGCCGCGGGAGCGGUUCGAGUUGGGAGACAGCCGGAAGCCAGUAAAAGAAGAGAAAAUGGAAGAAAGAGACCUGCUGUCCGACUUACAGGACAUCAGCGACAGCGAGAGGAAGACCAGCUCGGCCGAGUCCUCGUCAGCGGAGUCAGGCUCAGGUUCUGAGGAGGAAGAGGAGGAGGAGGAAGAGGA